GAUGAACGCUAGCUACAGGCUUAACACAUGCAAGUCGAGGGGCAGCGGGAUUGAAGCUUGCUUCAAUUGCCGGCGACCGGCGCACGGGUGAGUAACGCGUAUCCAACCUUCCGUACACUCAGGGAUAGCCUUUCGAAAGAAAGAUUAAUACCUGAUGGCAUGAUGAGAUUGCAUGAUAUCAUCAUUAAAGAUUUAUCGGUGUACGAUGGGGAUGCGUUCCAUUAGGUAGUAGGCGGGGUAACGGCCCACCUAGCCAACGAUGGAUAGGGGUUCUGAGAGGAAGGUCCCCCACAUUGGAACUGAGACACGGUCCAAACUCCUACGGGAGGCAGCAGUGAGGAAUAUUGGUCAAUGGACGAGAGUCUGAACCAGCCAAGUAGCGUGAAGGAUGAAGGUCCUACGGAUUGUAAACUUCUUUUAUAAGGGAAUAAACCCUCCCACGUGUGGGAGCUUGUAUGUACCUUAUGAAUAAGCAUCGGCUAACUCCGUG
rnacentral:rRNA from 1 species